rnacentral:ncRNA from 1 species
GAAAGCCGUAUUCGAUGAAAGUUGUAUGUACGGCUUGGAGGGAGAUCUAUGCGUUGCGAACACUUUCAUUUUUAGCGUCUCAUCUUCU